rnacentral:rRNA from 1 species
AACGAACGCUGGCGGCAUGCCUAACACAUGCAAGUCGAACGAGACCUUCGGGUCUAGUGGCGCACGGGUGCGUAACGCGUGGGAACCUGCCCUUAGGUUCGGAAUAACUCCCCGAAAGGGGUGCUAAUACCGGAUAAUGUCUUCGGACCAAAGAUUUAUCGCCUUUGGAUGGGCCCGCGUUGGAUUAGCUAGUUGGUAGGGUAAAAGCCUACCAAGGCGACGAUCCAUAGCUGGUCUGAGAGGAUGAUCAGCCACACUGGGACUGAGACACGGCCCAGACUCCUACGGGAGGCAGCAGUGGGGAAUAGUGGAAAAUGGGCGAAAGCCUGAUCCAGCAAGGCCGCGUGAGUGAUGAAGGCCUUAGGGUUGUAAAGCUCUUUUAACCGGGAUGAUAAUGACAGUACCGGGAGAAUAAGCUCCGGCUAACUCCGUG